GAUGAACGCUGGCGGCGUGCCUAAUACAUGCAAGUCGAGCGAACGGACGAGAAGCUUGCUUCUCUGAUGUUAGCGGCGGACGGGUGAGUAACACGUGGAUAACCUACCUAUAAGACUGGGAUAACUUCGGGAAACCGGAGCUAAUACCGGAUAAUAUUUUGAACCGCAUGGUUCAAAAGUGAAAGACGGUCCUGCUGUCACUUAUAGAUGGAUCCGCGCUGCAUUAGCUAGUUGGUAAGGUAACGGCUUACCAAGGCAACGAUGCAUAGCCGACCUGAGAGGGUGAUCGGCCACACUGGAACUGAGACACGGUCCAGACUCCUACGGGAGGCAGCAGUAGGGAAUCUUCCGCAAUGGGCGAAAGCCUGACGGAGCAACGCCGCGUGAGUGAUGAAGGUCUUCGGAUCGUAAAACUCUGUUACUAGGGAAGAACAUAUGUGUAAGUAACUGUGCACAUCUUGACGGUACCUAAUCAGAAAGCCACGGCUAACUACGUG
rnacentral:rRNA from 1 species